GGGGGAUAACGUCCGGAAACGGACGCUAAUACCGCAUACGUCCUACGGGAGAAAGCAGGGGACCUUCGGGCCUUGCGCUAUCAGAUGAGCCUAGGUCGGAUUAGCUAGUUGGUGGGGUAAUGGCUCACCAAGGCGACGAUCCGUAACUGGUCUGAGAGGAUGAUCAGUCACACUGGAACUGAGACACGGUCCAGACUCCUACGGGAGGCAGCAGUGGGGAAUAUUGGACAAUGGGCGAAAGCCUGAUCCAGCCAUGCCGCGUGUGUGAAGAAGGUCUUCGGAUUGUAAAGCACUUUAAGUUGGGAGGAAGGGCAGUAAAUUAAUACUUUGCUGUUUUGACGUUACCGACAGAAUAAGCACCGGCUAACUCUGUGCCAGCAGCCGCGGUAAUACAGAGGGUGCAAGCGUUAAUCGGAAUUACUGGGC
rnacentral:rRNA from 1 species